CCUACGGGUGGCAGCAGUGAGGAAUAUUGGUCAAUGGGCGGAAGCCUGAACCAGCCACGUAGCGUGCAGGAUGACGGCCCUACGGGUUGUAAACUGCUUUUAUACGGGAAUAACGCGCCUUACGUGUAGGGCUUUGCAUGUACCGUAUGAAUAAGGACCGGCUAAUUCCGUGCCAGCAGCCGCGGUAAUACGGCGGGUCCGGGCGUUAUCCGGAUUUAUUGGGGUUAAAGGGAGCGUAGGCGGGAUUUCACGCGGGCUGUGAAAUGUCCGGGCUCAACCCGGGCCUUGCAGCGCGAACUGGCGUGCUUGAGUGCGCGGAAAGCAGGCGGAAUGCGUGGUGUAGCGGUGAAAUGCGUAGAUAUGACGAAGAACCCC
rnacentral:rRNA from 1 species